CCUCCUUUCUUCCUCCUUGCGGCAUCUUGGUCAAUGGACGAGAGCCUGAACCAGCCAAGUAGCGUGAAGGAUGACUGCCCUACGGGUUGUAAACUUCUUUUAUAAGGGAAUAAAACGUUGCACGUGUGGGUUUUUGUAUGUACCAUAUGAAUAAGGAUCGGCUAACUCCGUGCCAGCAGCCGCGGUAAUACGGAGGAUCCGAGCGUUAUCCGGAUUUAUUGGGUUUAAAGGGAGCGUAGGUGGGUUGUUAAGUCAGUUGUGAAAGUUUGCGGCUCAACCGUAAAAUUGCAGUUGAAACUGGCAGUCUUGAGUAGAGUAGAGGUAGGCGGAAUGCGUGGUGUAGCGGUGAAAUGCUUAGAUAUCACGAAGAACUCCGAUUGCGAAGGCAGCUCACUGGACUGCAACUGACACUGAGGCUCGAAAGUGUGGGUAUCAAACAGGAUUAGAUACCCGAGUAGUC
rnacentral:rRNA from 1 species